AACGAACGCUGGCGGCAGGCUUAACACAUGCAAGUCGAGCGCCCCGCAAGGGGAGCGGCAGACGGGUGAGUAACGCGUGGGAAUCUACCCAUCUCUACGGAAUAACGCAUGGAAACGUGUGCUAAUACCGUAUACGUCCUUCGGGAGAAAGAUUUAUCGGAGAUGGAUGAGCCCGCGUUGGAUUAGCUAGUUGGUGGGGUAAAGGCCUACCAAGGCGACGAUCCAUAGCUGGUCUGAGAGGAUGGUCAGCCACACUGGGACUGAGACACGGCCCAGACUCCUACGGGAGGCAGCAGUGGGGAAUAUUGGACAAUGGGCGCAAGCCUGAUCCAGCCAUGCCGCGUGAGUGAUGAAGGCCCUAGGGUUGUAAAGCUCUUUCACCGGUGAAGAUAAUGGCGGUAACCGGAGAAGAAGCCCCGGCUAACUUCGUGCCAGCCGCCGCAGUAAGAC
rnacentral:rRNA from 1 species